rnacentral:lncRNA from 1 species
UCUUUGUUCAUAUUUUUGCUCCUCCCUCUCUUAGAUUGUACUCCAGGAGCUUGGCCCAUCGGUUAGUGGUGGAUUUCUGCAUCUGCUUCCAUCUGUUUCUGGAGGAGGGUUCAAGCUUCUCUGGGGUUAUGUCUGGGUACAUUUUGCUUUAUGUCUGGUAUCCACUUAUGAGAGGAAGAGAACUUAUUAAUGAAUCCACAAUUCACUUCUAUAACGUUGGCUUUUCCCUGCUGGAUGUAUGUGGGCACCCGAGUCCAGCAUUCAGAAAGAAAGGGAUAGGUCUGUCUGCUGUCAUACGCCCUCAUCAAGAGAGAUUUGCCUUUUCAUCACCCAUUCUUUUGUUUUUCCCUCAUGGCCAGCUGCUACAAAGACUCGGUCAAUUCAGAUGAGCUGGCUGAGGAGUUCUAUUCAAUAUGCCAGCCAGGCACACCUCUCUACAUGUAGCUUUUGCCGGGUCCAGUUUAAAAAGAAGUCUUCACAGAGCAGCGUUGCAGGUGGAAUAGUGUUGCCAUCCUCUGGACCCUUGUACCUCCAGCUUGUCUGUCUGCAGUGGGCAGGCCCUUGAGGUCUACCUCAAACUCUGUGGCUGGAAAAAUGACCCAGUCUAUCUGAGCAGUGGUGAACUCCCCAGAUUGGUCUGGUCACAUCAACUAAAAUAGGACAAAAGUAGGAGACACCAAUGACCAGAUGCAUGAAGAACAAAGAAGGAGGAAAGCAGUCCUGAAAAUAGAAAUCACACCAAAAAAUAGAUGAUGAGUUGAUGAUGCCCCGAGGCCUUUGUUCAGGAACAUGCUGGCACUGUAAAGAGGAACACGACAGUACCACAUUCUUCUGUGAAGUGUGAGCGGCUUUUUCCUAAAGAAUUCUCCCUAGAGAAGGCCUUGUGGGUUGUGGCUAGCUCUGCUUUCCGUUUUUAUCCAGACGUGUUCUUUAAGGCAAGUAUUACUCUCUUUCAAGGACUGCUCUAUCAUCACAUUAACAAUAAGAUAAACAAACUUGACAAAAAUCCAUGGAAAACACUAACCAUGGCCAUUGCUUAUUUCUGGUCCCAGGUAUUCCGUUUGUGCUCACAGUUAAAAAGCAGUCACGGCAGCUGUGUGCGUUCUGUAUCACUUGUUCCCCGUAAAUAAAAUACUCUAAGGGCCUAAAAAUGCAACAGAAAUAAAACUUUCUGAAAAAAA